UGGCUCAAUUGGUAGAGCAUGGUGCUUGCAAUGCCAAGGUUGUGGAUUUAAUUCCCAC
rnacentral:tRNA from 1 species